AGUUUGGCAAAGGGUCUCAGAUCCCCCAUGAAGCCGAGUCACCGGCAGUUCAUGAGAUCCUUCUCUCCCGAGACAAACAGAUUUCAUUUUUCAAGGUGGUGUUAAGAGAUUGAUUAAUUAGCAGCAUGUUCUCUUAGUGUGCGGCAGCCGUGCUGAAACCCUGUGAAGAGAAUGCCGUCAAGCCAAGGGGUGAUUAAAGAGGCGGCUGGUGUGAAGGUAACUCUCUACAUCUACAGAAAAUCUAAACACUGUUUGAUCAGGGUACAGCAGCUUUAGGCAAUGGAUUUAUAGAAACACAACUGACGUCCAAAAUUUUCCAAGUGUUUUCAUUUGGAUUUCGUGAAGAUGGUCUACGUGCAUUCCUUGGUUAUCAUCAUACAGCGGAGGAAUUCUGGACCCAGUGUGUAUUGUUUCAUAUUGUGAAUGGAGUGAGGUUGUGUAAGCAGAACUCAGUCACGUCUAAAGAUAACAUAAACUGGGAACAGUCCCCGCUGCACAGCGUCAGAAAUACAACCCCUGGAAUGUUACUCGCUGCUUGUACUGUACAACUCUCAAUCUGCAUAGUUAACCUCUCCUGCCGUGGUGGAACUACAAGACCCAGCAGGACCUGACCACCAGAAGCCAGUCCAAUUCUCGAGUCUGACACAUCAUUUUGUGUUUAUGGUUUGGCUAUAACCAGCGAGUUGAGGAAAUAAAAAAAAUCUGAAAUACAGUCAACCAUCCAACUAUCUUGCAGUUGUGAAGAACAGUUUAUUGAAACCAAUCACCAUUUUAUCAAUACUUCUCUAUAAAGAGUUAGAUCUCGUACUGUCAGGUUAUUGAGAACCCGUUUUGAACUCUCCACAGUUUGUUGUUGCAGUCAGUGGGUCAGACGUGGUGAGUGGUCUUGUUGUACCAAGAUAGACAUACGUGAUAGGGUCAGGUGUGCGUAAAAGGAAUCACUAUGGAGUUUAGAAGAGGUUACAGGACUCAGCUGUCAUCGGGUCGUUGGCAUCUUUUGGUGGUCUGUCCUGAUAGGACGUGCGCAUGGAAUCCGUCACAGAGGGCAGACAGCGAUGAAGUUGAAGAUCAGGACACUGGAUAAGACCACCGAGGCAGAAAACAUUAGAGCCAGAAUCCCCCUCAUUUUCAUUCAACACAGUGUUUAUUAUUUUAUCCAUAAGAGACGUGUACAGAUGGAUUUAAGAAUGACUUGGCCUAAUGGACUGUCCCACUUUAAUCAAUAUUCCAAAGUUGCUAUAUAGCAAUACCCACAAUUGCAUUAUUAUUGUAGCAAAUCACUUGAGGCCUCAUAAAAUUCCUUUACUGCUUUUCCUACUUAUUUUCCAACAUUACAAACUUCAACUAAGUAACUGUUGACAAAGGAUUAAAGUCACCAAGUGUGACUCAGCCGAGGGUUGUUGCCAUUACAAAACAAGGCCACAAAAAGCGGAAUAGUGAAUGGUGAAUAUGAUCUCUCUGUUUUCCCUUUUUGUUCUAGAUAUAAUAACAAAGUAAUUGUAUUUUUGCUAUUAAUAAAACUGAUUGAUUUACACUCA